GUUGACCUCGGAUCAGGUAGGGAUCACCCGCUGAA
rnacentral:rRNA from 2 species